rnacentral:lncRNA from 1 species
UUUCUCUUCAAUAUUCUAUCAAGACUUAAAGGUGGCAUUGGAUUUGGGACAUUUUUGCUGAUGUGGCAACUUAUAGUUUUGAGUUUAGGAGGGAAUUCUCAAAUGCCUUCAUCAUUCACGAUUUUAACAAAAAAGUGGCGGGAUCCGGCUGUGAUUCGGGUCACCCAAUAUUAAAAAACGGAUCCUAUAUAUCAUCUUUACCAGACCACCAUAUCUCAUAACCUCACUUUUCACAAACCCUAUAUACCAUUUCCUAAAUCUGCUUCUUCGUUUUUCAGAGAUUCAUCGUCCUUAGAUGAGAUUCAUAAGGACGACAAUGUUUUGAUGCUUUCUUCAUCUUCAUGGUUUGCUUGUGGUCUUUCGUAUCCGUCAAAACCCUAAUCGACCGGAGAAAUCGUCAAAACUUCUUCACAAUAUGUCUUUUAAUAUGCAUCCCUUGCACAACAGUCCUUCAUUUUUAAAGCUUAUUGAUGAAGAUGACCUGAUAUUUUUGGUGAAGCGCUUCUUUCAGACUCCUUCCCCUACAAGGAACUAUUGAAUGGGUUCCUAUGAGAAGUUGAAGAAAAGUUAUGGAUAAUGAAAACAACGUUCCUUCGUUAUUAAAGUCGAUUAAGGACUAUGAUCCUAUAUUUUUCGAAUUGUUGUCGACCAAAAACAG